GUGUAUUCUAUGAAAGAGCAGUGCAUUACCUAUUUCAAACAGCUUCCAGCUUUAGGAUGUUUUUUUUUUUCUUUCUACCACUAAUCCUUUCAAUUAUCCUGCCUGAGAUUCAGGGGAGGAAAUUCAUCCCCCUACAAAUCUUUGCCAUUUGGGCCUGCCCAUUCUCUAAGAUUCAUCCAGUUUGAGAUUUCUCAAACCCAUGUUCUCUCUUGCUAUGGGAAAUACCACAGUUCUGACAAAAGGAAUCUGAAUGGAUGGAGAAAGGAAUUCUAAAGAGAUUGGAGGACAAGAGAAUACAAAAGGAGCCAUUGCACAGUGCCAAAGAAACACAAAGCUAAACUGCAUAGUGCCAACUGAGCACAAAGUCAAAGAGACCAACCAAUCCCAAUGGGAUUGAUGAAAAUUUGGAGGCAAGACAAAAGGACCUGAACUUGUGUGGGGUUUGAGGUUGUAGCUGUUUAACUUGUGUUAAAGGUAGGUCUUCCUUGUCCCAUAUUCCUUCAAGUAUCUCAAAUUUGGUUCCUACCUGGCUCUUAUAAUCUAGUCCCUUUUCUGUCUUUCAUGGUGUGGCAAACUUUCUAUAGUCCUGCCUACUGAUUGGGCAAAUGCACAAUUGUUUAAAUCACUUUAAUUGGGCCCUGAUUCAAGGACCUGUUAUAGACUUAUUUUUCCUUUUUCUUAGAAUUUUUACACAUAAGACUUCGAUAGUUUAUAUUUCAUCCAGAAAUUAUCUUUUUUUAUUUGGAUUUUUUGAUGUUUUUAAUUUCUCUUGCCAAUUGAUUCUUUUACCUCAUAACACAGCCAUUUAUUCCUAACUGAUCCCUGUGUUUUUCAACACCCUCUUCAGGAGGAAAUGUAUAAUUAUUCUAAAUUGCAAAGUUUAAAUUCUUUUUGAGAAUAAUUUUAGGUUAAGAAACAUGUUACCUCUCCAAAUCCAGAAAGUGAACUGUUUGGAGAAGGCACCAUGAAGAUGCUUCCACAGACAACAAGCUGCACCAGAAGAUCCAGAGUGAACUUUGGGAUAUGGUGAUUUGAACUGUGUGGGAUUGAAUGCAUUUGUUUUGUAUGUAUACUCUUAUGCCAAAGAGGACUGCCUCCUAGCUGGCUUUUUGUCAAUGCACCUAGAAAUCAUUGGUUUUGUUCUCUUAUCCUCAAAUUAUUGUAAUUUCAAAGUUGGUUAUGUUUAUAAGAUCCAUUGAUAAGACUAGUCUUCCAUGGAUCUCAGGGGGAAUGUAUAAUUGAAAAUCUCUUACCCUAUAAAAAAGAACUACAUUUCCCAGGAGCCCACUGACUUCCUGUCCUUAUGUACUUCCUGUAUUCAGGGGAUAUUAGGCAAGGACGUAAAGGAUCCCACCUUCUUUUACUUCAUGUCCCGAGCUUUGUGGUGAGCUGCCCAGUCACAUGAUCAAAUCUAAUGAAACAUUUCGUGCUUCCAUGGGCUUCCAUGAACACGGACACAAACGAUUCAUAGAUGGACCAUCUCAUGCCCCAGAGUAGUGGUCUCCAAAGUUGAAUAUGCAUGCCAGAACUGGUACAGAAGACAAUCCUUUGGAGUAGAGGAAGAAAUG